ACAUCCGUGAGCUGAGAAUGCUGGGGAGAGCAAGGCAGCAUUUGGCCAGGGAGCCCAGGAAAGCCCGGCCCCUGUCCUCUGGCCACAGCCCCUCUCCGUGAGGUCCUUGAGGGGAUGGAUCUCCUGCUCAGGGGAACAUGGGUGACAGCAAAGGCUGUGGCUCGUGGGACAUGGGCCCCAACCUCCGAUGUGGAGCCCAAGGUCUAGGCUGGAUGGAGCUCAUGCAGAACCCCCUUGACUUAGGCAUGAGGCAGCUUUUCCCUUCAUCAUUUUUCCAUAAGUCCACAUGGGAAGUCCUGGGUCUCACUAUACCACGUGGAGCAGGAAGUCCAGGCAACAAGACAAGAGUACAAGAGGCAGGGCGCCGGGGCAAGGAGCCUUUGCUUCUCUACCAGGAGCAGAGCUGGUCCUGACUGCCCAGCCCAGGUCUCUUAGGUGGGGCAGUGGCAACCUCUUUGACUUGACAAAUGGAAAAUUCCAACAAAAGAAUGCCAGAGAGCGUCUAAGAGAAGUCAGGUGUACCUUCCCCCACAGGACCGGCCAAAGAGGAGAGAAUGAUGGCCCACCUUCUACUCAAAGCAGCUGGGAAGGUUCCUGAGAAGAGAGCCUGGCCCUCACAAGGACUGCUCUCUGGGGCUCGGCCGGAUUUCUCCAAGCUUAUCUUUGACUAGCUUAGCAACCCACGUUGGAUUGAAAGUGAGCACUGCUUCCCCAAUAGCUGCAGCAAGUCCUGCAGCGGAUUCUCACUGGAUUGACUUGGGACGACGAGUGCACUUCCUGAAUGCCCUUGUGGCCAGAGAGCUGGAGGUGCGGAGGGCUUCUGUGCUCCUCCCCAGGCGCUGGAGGGCUGAAGAAAAAAAAAUCCUUUACCCCUCCCAAAAAAGAAGAGGGAAAUCAUCUGUCUCUCAGCCUGCCAUGGACAUCAGCCGGGACAGUUAGGUGCUCCCCACAUCUCCCACUGAGGGAAGAAGACAGGGCGGUUGGAAAAUAUAUCGAUAAACAAGUGAGCACAGCAGACCACCGCUGCUUCCUCCCUUUGAAACGUUCUUUUGUCAAUCUUAGUGGAUUCUGAAGCCCGAGGUAUCCAAAGUCUGAUCAAUGAAAUACGAUUAUGCUUCAGUCAGCUGGGAUCAGUAGCUGCAAGGAGUGGUUAGAAGACAAUGAUUUGGUUAUCCCAUAAUUUCCAAUAGCCACCUCUAGCCACCCCAAAUAGCCUUACAAUCUGAGCAGACAGUGUACUUCCUGUGCAAACUUGGUUUCAAACAAGCUUCCAGCGCCCUUCCCAUCCCCCCCCCCACACACAGAUUGCUGGUGCUUAAUCCUCUCCUGUUCUGGUGAUAGAAGUUAAUUGAAUUAUCUAAAGGUUAACCAGAAAAGCUUAUUUGUUUCAGUCCUUGUACCAGAAAAUCAUUCUGAAGAUGUCUUCAUUUAUUUCUCGCCUUGGUAGAUAGAAUGACCCUAAGGUAAACUUUCAUGAAACAGGGCCGAGCAUUGUAGCCCAGCCCAAGGGCUGAUGCAGAGGAGGUAUUCAAUAAGUGUUUGACAAUAUAAUUAGCUAAUGAGGUAGGUUGUGGAACAAAGGCAAUGUCUAAACAGUUCAGCAAUUUCCCCUAGUCUUGUCUCUAUCUGUGUAACUGACAUGAAGCAUAAAUUACUUGAACAGAAUAAAGAUACAUGACAAAAAUAACUCCCAGUGCUUGGAGUCUAAAGCUUUCCUUAUGUUGGUUCAUUUAAAGUCAGCAGUCUUGCCCUGGCUGGUGUGGCUCAGUGGAUUGGACCUGAGCCUGUGAACUAUAGGAUUGUGGUUCAAUUCUUGGUCAGGGCACGUGCCUGGGUUUUGGGCCAGUUCCCAGAGGGGGAUGCUUGAGAGGCAGUCAUACAUUGAUGUU